rnacentral:rRNA from 1 species
UGUGAUGGGGAGCGAAAUUUAGUAGCGAAGUAGCUGAUUUCACACUGUCAAGAAAAGUCUCUAUCGAGGUUAAAGGUACCCGUACCGCAAACCGACACAGGUGGGUGAGGAGAGUAUCCUAAGGCCAGCGAGAGAACUGUUGUUAAGGAACUCGGCAAAAUGACCCCGUAACUUAGGGAUAAGGGGUGCCACCAUCAGGUGGCCGCAGAGAAUAGGCCCAAGCGACUGUUUACCAAAAACAUAGGUUUCUGCUAAGUCGCAAGACGAUGUAUAGGAGCUGACGCCUGCCCGGUGCUGGAAGGUUAAGGGGAUCUGUUAGAGCAAUCGAAGCAGUGAACUUAAGCCCCAGUAAACGGCGGCCGUAACUAUAACGGUCCUAAGGUAGCGAAAUUCCUUGUCGGGUAAGUUCCGACCCGAACGAAAGGCGUAACGAUUUGGGCACUGUCUCAACAACAGACUCGGUGAAAUUGUAAUUCCGGUGAAGAUGCCGGAUACCUGCGACAGGACGGAAAGACCCCAUGGAGCUUUACUGUAGCUUGACAUUGGGUCUUGGUACUACAUGUACAGGAUAGGU